GUAGGUGGCAAGCGUUGUCCGGAAUUAUUGGGCGUAAAGCGCGCGCAGGCGGUUCUUUAAGUCUGAUGUGAAAGCCCACGGCUCAACCGUGGAGGGUCAUUGGAAACUGGAGAACUUGAGUACAGAAGAGGAAAGCGGAAUUCCACGUGUAGCGGUGAAAUGCGUAGAGGUGUGGAGGAACACCAGUGGCGAAGGCGGCUUUCUGGUCUGUAACUGACGCUGAGGCGCGAAAGCGUGGGGAGCAAACAGGGAUUAGAUACCCUGGUAGUCCACGCCGUAAACGAUGAGUGCUAAGUGUUAGGGGGUUUCCCGCCCCUUAGUGCUGCAGCUAACGCAUUAAGCACUCCGCCUGGGGAUACGGCCGCAAGGCUG
rnacentral:rRNA from 1 species